rnacentral:rRNA from 1 species
CCUACGGGUGGCAGCAGUGAGGAAUAUUGGUCAAUGGGCGUAAGCCUGAACCAGCCACGUCGCGUGAGUGAUGAAGGUUCUCUGGAUCGUAAACCUCUUUUAUAAGGGAGUAAAGUGUGGGACGUGUCUUAUUUUGUAUGUACCUUAUGAAUACGGAUCGGCUAACUCCGUGCCAGCAGCCGCGGUAAUACGGAGGAUCCGAGCGUUAUCCGGAUUUAUUGGGUUUAAAGGGUGCGUAGGCGGCCUUUUAAGUCAGCGGUGAAAGUCUGUGGCUCAACCAUAGAAGUGCCGUUGAAACUGGGGGGCUUGAGUAUGUGUGAGGCAGGCGGAAUGCGUGGUGUAGCGGUGAAAUGCGUAGAUAUCAGGCAGAACCCCGAUGGCGAAGGCAGCCUUCCAAGCCAUGACUGACGCUGAUGCACGAAAGCGUGGGGAGCAAACAGGAUUAGAUACCCUUGUAGUC